rnacentral:rRNA from 1 species
GACGAACGCUGGCGGCGCGCCUAACACAUGCAAGUCGAACGAGAGAUGAGGAGCUUGCUCUUCAAAUCGAGUGGCGAACGGGUGAGUAACGCGUGAGGAACCUGCCUCAAAGAGGGGGACAACAGUUGGAAACGACUGCUAAUACCGCAUAAGCCCACAGCUCGGCACCGAGCAGAGGGAAAAGGAGUGAUCCGCUUUGAGAUGGCCUCGCGUCCGAUUAGCUAGUUGGUGAGGUAACGGCCCACCAAGGCGACGAUCGGUAGCCGGACUGAGAGGUUGAACGGCCACAUUGGGACUGAGACACGGCCCAGACUCCUACGGGAGGCAGCAGUGGGGAAUAUUGCACAAUGGAGGAAACUCUGAUGCAG